rnacentral:tRNA from 1 species
AAAAAUUUAGUUAAAAUUAUAACGUUAGUUUGUCAAACUAAAAUUAUUUAUUAAAAUAAUUUUUA